GCAGUCGAACGCGAACGCCGGGCUUCGGCCUGGUUAGUAGAGUGGCGAACGGGUGNGNNACGCGUGGGCAAUCUACCCUGAAGUGGGGAAUAACCAUUCUAACGAGUGGCUAAUUCCGCAUGAGCCCAUUCCCUCGCAUGGGGGAUUGGGGAAAGGCGGGGAUCUUCGGACCCGCCGCUUUAGGAGGAGCCCGCGUCCCAUUAGCUUGUUGGCGGGGUAACGGCCCACCAAGGCGACGAUGGGUAGCCGAUCUGAGAGGAUGACCGGCCACACUGGGACUGAGAUACGGCCCAGACUCCUACGGGAGGCAGCAGUCGAGAGGCUUCGGCAAUGGGGGAAACCCUGACCGAGCGACGCCGCGUGCGGGAAGACGGCUUUCGGGUUGUAAACCGCUGUCAGGAGGGAAGAAUCCCCACGGGUUAAUAACCCGUGGGUUGACGGUACCUCCAAAGGAAGCUCCGGCUAACUCCGUGCCAGCAGCCGCGGUAAUACGGAGGGAGCAAACGUUGUUCGGAUUUACUGGGCGUAAAGGGCGCGUAGGCGGCUUUGCAAGUCAGGGGUGAAAUGUCUCGGCUCAACCGAGGACCUGCCUUUGAAACUGCAGAGCUUGAGGCCGUGAGAGGAGACUGGAAUUCCUAGUGUAGCGGUGAAAUGCAUAGAUAUUAGGAAGAACACCAGUGGCGAAGGCGAGUCUCUGGCACGGUUCUGACGCUGAGGCGCGAAAGCCAGGG
rnacentral:rRNA from 1 species